rnacentral:rRNA from 1 species
UACAUAGGUCUCAAGCGUUGUUCGGAUUCAUUGGGCGUAAAGGGUGCGUAUGCGGCCAACUAAGUCGGACGUGAAAUCCCUCGGCUUAACCGGGGAACUGCGUCCGAUACUGGAUGGCUAGAGUUCGGGAGAGGGAUGCGGAAUUCCAGGUGUAGCGGUGAAAUGCGUAGAUAUCUGGAGGAACACCGGUGGCGAAGGCGGCAUCCUGGACCGACACUGACGCUGAGGAGCGAAAGCCAGGGGAGCAAACGGG